GGCCGCUCCACGGGACUCACGUUUGUCCUCCCUGUGACAAGAUGGGCCACAUUCCGAUGGCUGAUUUCUCAGUCAACAUCAGGUGGAAAAUUCUAGAAAAAUUCGCGUGGAUUUUUUACUGUUGCUGCUCUCUCCGAAUCCCGGGUGCUUUUGGUGGUGUGAGCCCAUCUCCUGGCAGGAUAUUUUUAUGACCGAAAUAUGGCGGAUUCCCCCUCCUUUGGGGGGGGUCAGCUCUUUACUCCUCAGCUGCCCAGGUGCCUACUUUCCUGGAUGGACCGGGCACCAGGUAGAGCUGAGAGAUGUCCGCGGACCGGGAGGCAAGACCCCGGAAGAAGGAUGGCCCUUAUCUGGCAGAGCGAGCAGACCCUUACACGCCCGGAGGUUUCUGCCAGACGAGGUGCCUCAGGGGAAUGACGCAUGAGGAGGCAGAAGCACUGUCUUAUCAGCGGACCCUCGUGGUUGGGAGAUGGCCACCCCAACAGGCAUUCAUUCAGUCAACAAACAUCUACUGAGAACCUCCCAGGUGCCCGCACUGCGCCUCUGCCUGCCUCCGCAGGUGCUUGCGGGGAUAACUAACCAGCUAACUAACCAGCUAACUAACUAAUCGACUAACCAACGGGUGUGGGAUGCCCGGCAGGCAGGGGAACCGAAACAUAACUGUAGAAACACGCGCAAUGGCCUUGCUCACCAGCUUUGCCCCGAGAGGAGGAGUGACUUCCCUAAGGGCUCUGAGCACGCCCAGACCUGAGCAUUCCCUCGGAACAUCUGCCCCCCGCCCCAGCACCUACUGUGUGCAGCUCUGCCCCCGUCCCCAGUGGGCACACAGAAUCCUGCCCUCCCGGCGCGUAUGUCUGCGGUGGGAAGCCGGCCUGGGACAAGGACCCAGACACACACAGCAUAGGCUCUCAGAG